AACGAACGCUGGCGGCGCGCUUUACACAUGCAAGUCGCACGAGAAAGGGCUUCGGCCCGAGUAAAGUGGCGGACGGGUGAGUAAUGCAUGGAUAACCUGCCUUCGAGUGGGGGAUAACCCCGGGAAACCGGGGCUAAUACCGCAUGACAAGUCGCGAGCUUCGGCUUGCGCCUUCAAAGCUGGCCUCUGCUUGCACGCUGGCGCUUGAAGAGGGGUCCAUGUCCCAUUAGCUAGUUGGUGAGGUAACGGCUCACCAAGGCGACGAUGGGUAGCCGACAUGAGAGGGUGAUGGGCCACACUGGGACUGAGACACGGCCCAGACGCCUACGGGAGGCAGCAGUGGGGAAUUUUGCGCAAUGGGGGAAACCCUGACGCAGCGACGCCGCGUGGAGGAUGAAGGCCCUUGGGUCGUAAACUCCUGUCAGGUGGGAAGAAAAGCCUUCGGUGAACAGCCGAGGGCCUUGACUGUACCACCGGAGGAAGCCCCGGCUAACUCCGUGCCAGCCGCCGCCGUAAUAC
rnacentral:rRNA from 1 species